GCUAACCCUCAGGGUGGAGUUUCCUUAACACACACCCCAGGACUGGGUGGGGCCACAGAUCAGUAUCACAGAUACUCUCCAUCCUGCCCCUCCUUCUCCACUUCCCAUUGCAGCUGGGCCCUUCCCGCUCGUUUAAAGACACUAUUAAAACCCAUACUACCAUUUCGGCAAAGAUGCAGCCAAUACUCCAGAUAUCCACAGCUGUCGAAUAGUAUUUGCAUCCCAGGAGUAUUUCAGGAGCUCGAUACCACAAAGUCACCACCUGUGAAAGACUGGAAGGCCUCUCUUGCUGCCUGAUCUGGAGCCAACUAUGGUGAUGACCAGGAUGUGCAGCUGGUGGGAAGGGUUCACGUGGCUCUUACCUGACUAUGUUGGGAUGCUUCAGCUCCUUCAGCAGCGAGAUUUCUCGGAUGGCAGUGCUGGGGACACCCUCUGUCUCCCUGUGGAAGAGGUGCCCUCCCCGAUCUUCUCCACCUUCUGGAACACCUGCUGGAAGGCCUCCAUGGCCUCGGCCUUGUGGCUGCUGGCACGGAAGGGUGAAAAAAAAAAACAACAAAAGGAGAAAAGGUGCA